AUGGCGCUGACCCUGUUGGGGUCCGGCGGUGACCUCCGGCCACGGGGGCGUCACUGACCCUCGUCUGCCGCGGCUCCGGGUUCGAUUUCGGGAAAUUCGGGAUGGGCUGGGGCCGAGAGAGCCCCGGGCAGGGCCUCGAAUCCAUCGCCAGAAUCGACAGCAGUGGCAGCCCCUACUACGCGCCAUCGGUCAAGGGCCGAGUGACCAUCGCCAGGGACAACGGGCAGAGCUCGGUGACGCUGACCAUGAGUGACCUCAGGGACAGCGAUUCCAGCUCCUAUUUCUGCGCCAAAUCUUUCUAUGAUG